rnacentral:sRNA from 1 species
UGGUCUGGAACACGGACCUGGUGGAGACCCUGGAGCUGCAGAACCUGAUGCUGUGUGCGCUGCAGACCAUCUAUGGAGCAGAGGCGCGGAAGGAGUCACGGGGUGCGCACGCCAGGGAAGACUACAAGAGCCUGCCCUGUGGUCACUUGUUCUUCAGAUGAACUGAUUUUUGUGCAGAGCACACGUGUUGGAUUCUGCCAGGUGCGGAUUGAUGAGUACGAUUACUCCAAGCCCAUCCAGGGGCAACAGAAGAAGCCCUUUGAGGAGCACUGGAGGAAGCACACCCUGUCCUAUGUGGACGUCAGCACUGGGAAGACCCGUAAUCGACAAAACUUUGAACGAGGCUGACUGUGCCACCGUCCCCCCAGCCAUUCGCUCCUACUGAUGAGACAAGAUGCGGUGAUGACAGAAUCAGCUUUUGUAAUUAUGUAUAAUAGCUCAUGCAUGUGUCCGUGUCAUAACUGUCUUCAUACGCUUCUGCACUCCGGGGAAGGAGGAGUACAUUGAAGGGAGAUUGGCACCCAGGCUGGGAGCUUGCCAGGAACCCAGUGGCCAGGGAGUGUGGCACUUACCUUUGUCCCUUGCUUCAUUCUUGUGAGAUGAUAAAAUUGGGCGCAGCUCUUAAAUAUAAAUGAAC